AUAAUCGGCUAGACUUUAUAAACUUAUACUCUAAUUAAUGUUAAUUUAGAGUUAUUUUGAUAUUGAUUUUUAAUUUUAGGGUGAAAUCAGAAAUUUUUUUUAUUUUAACUCUAAAUUUUAAGAUUUAGUAAACAAACCAGAUUAGUACCUGGUUAGAUAAAAUUUAAAAGAGCAGGAGUAAAGUUGUGUUUAAACUGUAAGAAUAUUGGCAGGUUUUUAAAUUAUCUUUGGAGGCUGAGUAGUAAUUGAGAACCCUCAUUUUCAACUUUUUCUUUAGGCGCAUGUAUGAUCGUUUAUUUUAUUCUUAAGGAUUGUAAUUUUAGUCUUUGCUAUAAAAAUAGAUAGAUAUCUGGCUUAUGAAGAAGAUUUAAUUUGGCCUACACUAAUGUAAUUUUUGGAUUCUGGUUGUAGAGAUUAGAUGAAAUUGUAAAAGACAGUAAGUUGCUUUUUAUGGGUAACUGAAGUUUAUUUAAAAACGGUACAAAUCAUCCAUCAAUUGCCUAUAGGGGAGUAAGUUGU
rnacentral:ncRNA from 1 species